ensembl:snoRNA U3 Small nucleolar RNA U3
AAGACUAUACGUUCAGGGAUCAUUUCUAUAGUUUAUUAUUUGGAAAGUUCUAAAAGUGUUAUGUCUCUUUAUCCACGAUGACGAGUCCUGAUACUUCUUUCUGAGCGUGAAUCUGAUGGAGAAUGAUGAGUAAAAUUAUAUUCUUUAUCAUUGAUGAACGUUCCUGCUGUGUUUCACAGUCUGGAGGAAAGAAGUGUUAUCAGAGUGGU